rnacentral:lncRNA from 10 species
UGUAGCCUGAGUUCAAUUCCUAGCCAGGGAGCUAAUCUCAUUUGUUUUAAAGUAUUGUAUGAUUCUUAACCUUUUGGGAUACCAAUUGUUAUUGAUCCUUAUCUCUUCCAUGGACAACUUUUGAUUUCCUGUCUUUUUCCAUUUGUGGGACAUACAGACCAUUUGGGCCUUCAUGAGUAACCAGCUGAGAAGCUGAGAUCAGAUAGAAAGUACCGCAGAACAGAGAGACCCUCUCUCUCAAAACAACAAACAAGGGCUGGGCGCGGUGGCUCAAGCCUGUA